UACGGAGGAUUCAAGCGUUAUCCGGAUUUAUUGGGUUUAAAGGGUGCGUAGGCGGGCUGUUAAGUCAGCGGUAAAAGCCCGGGGCUCAACCCCGGCGAGCCGUUGAAACUGGCUGUCUUGAGAUGUCGAGAGGUAUGCGGAAUGCGCAGUGUAGCGGUGAAAUGCUUAGAUAUUGCGCAGAACUCCGAUUGCGAAGGCAGCAUACCGGCGGCGAUCUGACGCUGAGGCACGAAAGCGUGGGUAUCGAACAGG
rnacentral:rRNA from 1 species